rnacentral:rRNA from 1 species
UGGGGAAUAUUGGACAAUGGGCGCAAGCCUGAUCCAGCCAUGCCGCGUGAGUGAUGAAGGCCCUAGGGUUGUAAAGCUCUUUCACCGGUGAAGAUAAUGACGGUAACCGGAGAAGAAGCCCCGGCUAACUUCGUGCCAGCAGCCGCGGUAAUACGAAGGGGGCUAGCGUUGUUCGGAUUUACUGGGCGUAAAGCGCACGUAGGAGGACUUUUAAGUCAGGGGUGAAAUCCCGGGGCUCAACCCCGGAACUGCCUUUGAUACUGGAAGUCUUGAGUAUGGUAGAGGUGAGUGGAAUUCCGAGUGUAGAGGUGAAAUUCGUAGAUAUUCGGAGGAACACCAGUGGCGAAGGCGGCUCACUGGACAAUUACUGACGCUGAGGUGCGAAAGCGUGGGGAGCAAACAGG